CACGCCUAACACAUGCAAGUCGAGCGGGGGUAGCAAUACUUAGCGGCAGACGGGUGCGUAACAUGUGGGAAUCUGCCUUUUUGGUUCGGAACAACACGGGGAAACCUGUGCUAAUACCGGAUAAGUCCUUACGGAGAAAGUUUUAAAUUGCCAAAAGAUGAGCCCCGCAUUUUGAUUAGCUAGUUGGUGAGGUAAAAGCUCACCAAGGCGAUAAUCAAUAGCUGAUUUGAGAGGAUGAUCAGCCACACUGGGACUGGGAUACGGCCCAGACUCC
rnacentral:rRNA from 1 species